AACAAACUCAAGGAAGGGAAGUGACUUUCCCAAAGUCACACAGUGACAUCCCAAUGAUGCAUGCAGGCAAAUGAAGAAAUAUUUCAGAGCCCAAAGAGCCCAGUUCUGUCCAGAGGAGUCUCAGAAUCAUUGGUUAUUAUGGACUGGGAAAAGGAAUACAUUUUUGAGGGGGUUAGAUUCAACCUCCUCUCAGGCCAUCCACAUUUCAGAUACGGAGACAUAAAAGACUCGGCUGUAUUUCUAAACAAGCCCUUAGAAUUUCUAUGAGCCUGCUCCCUCCCCCCAACUGGAAAAGAAGACAUCCAUUUUCUAAUGGGCUCACAGCUGUCUCCAGCCUCCGGAAAGGCAUCCCCGGAGCAGUCGGUGUGAAGUGGGUAGUUAAUUCCAGGCCUUCCUGCCUUGAAGUGUCCCUGGGACUGGGGGCUUCACUGCAUUCCCUUCACACCUGGCCUAUAUGGGGGAAGGCUGCCCAGAAGAGGCUUUGAGAAACAGCCAGGUUGGUGGGAGGGGACUCUGACAAGGCUGGCUGCUGCUGUUGCUGCUGAUGAAGAUUUCACAUCAAGUCCCAACACUGUGCUCCAGCCCUGGAUGCAGCUAGGCUCAGCUGUUUUGGUCACCAAUGCACUAGUGAAAGGGAAGAAUGCUUUAUCAUGUGAAAUAAAGGAAACACCUUGGUGCAAAGUGGAAAGAAGGAUAUGGCUCUGGAAGAGAAGACCUGGGUUUCAAUCCAGGUUCUGACGUUUACUACCGAUGUGACUGAGCAAGUCCCCUUCGUCUCUUUUGUUCUCAGUUUCCUUAUCUAUAAAAUGAGGGGGUGGGUAGUAUUCUUCAUCUUUGACCCUCUAGAAUCAUGUUUGGUCAUUGGAUUGAUUUGAGUUCUGAAGUCAUGCAAAGUUGUUUUGUCUUUAUAAUGUU